UAGCAGGGACAAGGGGGCAGAGCCUUACACAGGAAGCUGCGAAAACAGCGGCGUCGCCUAGCCCCUCUCCCCUUCCGCCAUUCGCUGCAUAACGGUGUACCCGCGUAUGCAGCAGCGCGCUUACUAGCACAUCGAGACGCGCUGUUAUUCUGUUGUGCGCACUCAAGCACACGCUUGUUUUUUGUGCACACCCCGCUUCUUGUGUGUGAGUGUGUGGUGUCUUUUGUGGCGACGAGCCGUGGCGGUGUGCGUCAUGUCUCUCAUGCCCGGGUACCCGGUGCCCCGCGCUCAGUGGGUGGAGUCUGCCGAGGGCUGUGCGGCGUGCAACAAGCGGUUCACCUUUUUUACGUCCAAAGAGAACUGCCCGUGCUGCGGACGACUCUUCUGCUCCUCGUGCCUCUCCGCGCAGUGCGCACUUUUUCCGACGGCGCCACCCAAGGCCGUCUGCCUUGAUUGCUUUCGGAAAGCUCAAGACUGGCGUCUUUCCCAGCUCGAGAAGCAACAGCAGACCUCGACGCAAGCGGACGUGGGCGCCGCGACGGCCCCUCUGUCCCCCUCGAUGGCGGUGCUAGAGUCGAAGCUGAGCGCACUGGAGGAGGAGUUCUACCGCGCAAAAGCAAACGCUCGUCAUCUUCGCGAGGAGAACGACUCCCUCAUCGAUCUCCUCGCUGCCAAAGACACCUGCAUUGCAGAGCUGAGGGACAAGCUCAUGAAUGGUGUCUCGGCAGGCGCUGCUGCGCAGUCGGCAGAGAAGCUGCAGGCGGAGUUGCAGGAAGCAAAGGAUGAGAAGGAGAGUAUGGGGCGACGGCUCAAUGAGGCUGAGCAGAGAGCAGCAGGUGCUGCUCAGUCUAGCGAGGCCAUGAGAGCGCAGAUGCAGGAGCACAUGCAGGCGAAGGCGGAGUGGGAGUCGUUGGAGGCAAGGCUGAAAUCCGAGGCGCGGAGGGCAGAGCACAUGCUCGCGCAAAGCUUAGAGGAGAUGAGCGAAUUGCGGGCAGCAAUGAAGUCUACGAAUGCCCACAGUGAGGAGCAAAUCAGGCAACUGACUGCCCAGCUGCAGUCGACGGUCGAGGCCAACGCACACCUUCAGAGAGACUACGACCGUAAUGCAGAGGCUCUGCGCACAGCCGAGCAGACUCGAAUCGCUUCGGACGCGCACCAUGACGAGGAGCUGCAGCGCCUCAGAGAGCACCUCGCCACUGCCACGGCUGCACUGGCACAAGCACAGGAGCGAUACGAGCGUGAACAGAGGGACACCAUGAAAGCGUCUGACGACGCCGCAACUGCCAUUGCGGCAGAGAAGCAGCGGGAGAUCGAUACUCUUAGCGAACAGCUCGCUUUAUCUAGCGCGGCUGCGCAGCGCCUUCAAGGUGAACUUGACCGUGCAAUAAAAGAGGCUACCCGAUUGCGAGAAGAGGCGGCGCUCAAGGCGGAGGCCGCCAACACGUUGACAUCAGAGCUUCGCACACAGCUGGAAGCUCAAGGGACGGCAGCUCAGCAGGAGAUGCCGCGGCAACAGGAGGCGAGCGUUCGCCUACGCGCGGACCUGGCAGAGAAGGAGCAUCUUGUGAUGAAGCUGCGGCGUGCCUGUCGCCAUGCAGGCACGACGGCACGGGCGCAGCUCGACGACCUUCGCGGUAAACUUGUGGAAACGAAAGUGGCGUACGAGGAAGGCCAGCGCUCGUGGCAGGCGUGGCUAGGAGAGCUGCGUGCGGCGCUGGAGGUGGUGGUGCAGCAGGGGGCGGUCGAGGUGGCAGCCACAUCGGCGCCGUCCACCGGUGCGGGGAUGAAUGGCCGCGGAACGACCAAGUCGCGAUGGGCACAGCCCACUAUCAUAGAGGAACUGCAGUACCCGAGUGUUGCCGACGUAGAUGUGCGCGCCAUCGAGCCUGUGCCUGGGCUUGAGCUGUGGGAGUUCGACACCGUUGCCGAGGCACAGCGAGGCGGCGAGGCGGACGUGCUCCUGCGUGUCGGCCACCAGAUCGCGCUGGACUUGCACCUCUUCCCCGACCGCGCCUCGCUGCACCGGUGGGCGUGCCUGCUGGCAACGGUACAGGCGAACUACCGCGCCAACCAGUAUCACAACAGAGUGCACGCGGCAGACGUGCUCCAGGGCGUUUACGCGCUGAUAUGCAGCUGCCCCGGCCUACUGGCGCACAUGACGACCGUGGAGAAGCGCGCCGUCGUGUUUGCUGCCGCCGUGCACGACAUCCGACACCCCGGCCGCUCAGAGAUAUUCCUCAAACACACAUUCGACGCGACAUAUAUGCACUACAACGGGCUGCAAGUGCUCGAGCAAAUGCACACGGCGACCGCUUUUCACCUCCUGGCCACGCCGGAGCUGGACUUCACGCGCGGCAGCAUGGACGACACGGAGGCCCUUGAGUUCCACGGCCUCGUCGCGGCGCUCAUUGGCUGCACCUUCAUGGGGCGCCACGCGUCUCUGAUGGAGCAGUGGUCGCGCCCUCUACAGGACGGCAAGACAUACGACGUGACUGUUACCGCGGAUCGGCAGCAGGUGCUCUCGCUGCUCUUGCAUGCUGCCGAUAUUGGGGCGCAGGCCCGUGGUCUGGCGGUGGCGCUGAAGUGGCUGGGUGUUGUGGAAGAGAUGCGCGCGCAAGGCGACGAAGAGGCGGCGCGAGGGCUGCCGCUGAGCCCGGGGAGCAGCCGGAGCGCGAGCCUGGAGAGAGGCCAAAUCUUCUUCAUGGAGAUGUUUGUAGUGCCGCUGUUCGACCUCGUGCACCAGAUGUUUCCUUCUAUUGAGUCGCCCAUGCGGAAUCUGCGCACGGUGCACGCGCACUACUGCGCGGCGCUGCAGGAGACGCGUGCGUUCCCGCCGCCUGUGCAGUACAGGACGGCGACGCAGCCAGCGAGCAACACGGCGGAAACGUCCCGCGCGGAGGCCCUGGGUACCCGCGAGGCUGCAGUGAGGAAGCAGGAGAAGGCGGUGGAGCAAUCGAUAAAUCGGCUGCGGGAGGCGACGGCCGCCGUGGCGGGCCGGGAGAAGCUGCUCAGAGAGAGGGAGGUCGCUCUGAUGAGGGCGGAGACCGCUUUAAAGAGCCAGCGACUUGAGAAGCCGUCGCCCACCUCGUCCAUCGGUGAGGAGGAGCUUCUGCGUGCCAUCACUGCCAUCAUGGCGCGCGAGGCGGAGGUGCAGCGGAGAGUAGCGGAUGUGGAGACUAUGACGGCGGCGUUGGAGGAGAGAGAGACGAUUGCGUCUCGCCUCUCUGAGCAGCUGGCUUCUAUCGCCGAUAAAAUAAAUCGGCGCCGUCAAGUCUUGCGCUAUCGCGAGGCGCGCGUCCGAGAAUUGGAAGCGGCGUUCCGUGGUGAGCGGGGAGCUGACUUCUCAUCAUCUGAUUACAUCACGGGGCCGAUGUGUCGUGCGGUGGCUAAGCCACUUUCAACUGCUGCACCGUUGGAGCGCAUGUCACCAUCUUCUGUGCAGGUGGUAAAGCUGGAGAGUGCACUGGAGAAGCUCACCUCUGCACUGCGGUACAUGUGAGUAAGACGAAGCAGCCCUUUCUCCCGAGUCGAAAAGGACGACGUCGACAGCGGCGCUCACGCCCGAAAUGGAAUCACAGAUGCCGGUGUGCACACAAGUGUGCAACGACUGUACAGGAGCGAGGAAGCGGAGAUUGUCACCGAUACUCACGCGAGGAGUGAGACGAGUGCAAUGAACCUUGAUCAGAUGGCUUAUAGGUGUGAUGCACACACUUCACGAUGUACGCUUCUCACCAUCACG
rnacentral:misc_RNA from 1 species